UACGUAGGGUCCGAGCGUUGUCCGGAAUUACUGGGCGUAAAGAGCUCGUAGGUGGUUUGUCGCGUUGUUCGUGAAAACUCACAGCUUAACUGUGGGCGUGCGGGCGAUACGGGCAGACUAGAGUACUGCAGGGGAGACUGGAAUUCCUGGUGUAGCGGUGAAAUGCGCAGAUAUCAGGAAGAACACCCGUGGCUAAGGCGGCUCUCUAGUACGGUACUGACGCUGAGACGCGAAAGCGUGGGGAGCGAACAGG
rnacentral:rRNA from 1 species